rnacentral:rRNA from 1 species
UACAGAGGGGGCUAGCGUUAUUCGGAAUUAUUGGGCGUAAAGGGCGCGUAGGCGGCCAUGCGUGUCUUCCGUGAAAUCCCUCGGCUUAACUGAGGACGUGCGGAAGAAACUGCAAGGCUCGAGUCCGGGAGAGGGGGGUGGAAUUCCCAGUGUAGCGAUGAAAUGCGUAGAUAUUGGGAGGAACACCGGUGGCGAAGGCGGCCCCCUGGACCGGUACUGACGCUGAGGCGCGAAAGCGUGGGUAGCAAACGGG